GAACAUAACUUAAUGGUAAAGUUUUGGUCUUCCAAACCAAAAAUGCGA
rnacentral:tRNA from 1 species